rnacentral:tRNA from 1 species
CAGGGAGACAACAAAAUGUUUAAUAUUAUUAUUUUGUCACCUUAGGUCGAUCGGUAUCUCACAUCCUUAACUUAUUAAGGAUUUCAUUUCCUAAGUUUUUCUAGGUCACACCCAUUAUUUUUCCUGGGCCAUUAGCUCAGGUGGUUAGAGCGCACCCCUGAUAAGGGUGAGGUCCCUGGUUCAAGUCCAGGAUGGCCCAUAUCUCUAUGUUGGGGGUAUAGCUCAGUUGGUAGAGCGCCUGCUUUGCAAGCAGGAUGUCAGCGGUUCGAGUCCGCUUACCUCCACUGAUUACCACCUCUUCCAUAUUCUUUAGAAGGGAAAUAUUUUGAGUUGUGAUCAAAGUCUGAACGAAUCUAGCUUCCUAAUAAAUUUAUUAAGAUGCUGGACUCAUUGAAUUAUUUUCAUUGUUUUCAGAGAACCUUGACAACUGCAUAGAUUAUUUUUAAAGACAAUAAGCAUCUUUAAUGAUGCAGAUUUAUUAUUUGUGCGAAUGCAUUAAAUAACAAUUCUAUUAAGCUGAUGCUUCAAUUAUUGAAGUUAUU